rnacentral:lncRNA from 1 species
GAACUUAUAUGAUAUUAAACACAAAAUAGUCAUGAUGGUUCAACAUAAAUGUUCCUAAAAUAUGCUACAUUAAGUCCAUAAAAUUCUAAUACAAAGAGAGAGAUCAAGUCCUCACUACUCUACAGCCCUUAGUUAUCAAAAUGUAUCAAUUUCACUGUCAUGACUAUUUGAAACAAGUGAAUAUCUCAUAAACCAUAAUUCACAUUCAAUGCCCUAAACAUCAAUCCUUUCCUACUCAACAAAUAAUUUUGUACAAUUGAACACUAUAAAAAGAAAAGGAGAGCAAUUGAACACUGUAUAAAGAUGUGUUUUGUCAUUCACGUAUCAUCUAAUGAGAAUCAGUGAUGCAACUGCUACUGAAGAGGAGUUCACUCACAAAAACACCAGAUCUGCAGCUAAAGCAAUAUGUAAAUUGACAAAUGCAAAUGUUAAGAAACACUCAAAGAUGGCAGAAAAUUGGUGGAUUACGUGCCCACUCACCUUACUAGGUAAAGGGAUUCAUGAAUAGCUUUGUCUUAGGGUUCCAGAAGUGGAAUAUCUUCCCCAAUUUGAGUUCAGACUUCAAAAACAGAACUGCAAAACAACCAGAAAUGCAGUGACAAACUGUAAUUAUGCAGAAGCACACAAACCAGAAAAUAAUGCAGCACAAGAACAUGGUAUGGUAGAAAAUUAAUCACAAUAGUAAAGUAAAGAAAUAGUCACAGAAAUAAACAAAAAAGAGAUUGAAGGGUCAAUCGUAAUAGACAAAGAAUUAGAAUCAUACUAUAACAUGAUAUACUAUAAUCACUAGUAUUAGAGAAAUAUUAAAAUAUUAAGUACCAUAUCUCCAAUAAUACAAAUAAUUAAUAUCAAAAGCAUGAACAUUCAACAUUACUAAAUGACCAAGAUCCAUACUGAGUUGUAAUAAAAUCAAAAUAAAAACCCCUACUCUUCCAUGAAAAAAACAGCACAAGCAAUUUCUUGAUAUUAGUAAGCGAUUCCCAUUAAGGAAAAGAAAGGAACGCACCUCAGUGAUGGUAGUCGACUGCGUGAGGCGAGGAGCGAGUGGCAGUGAGGGAAAGUUCCGGCGGUGGUGGUGUGGCACUUACAGGGACGCCACAUCUGAGUAGUGAAAGAGAAGCUUCAUCGUUGGAGACAGAACGAGAGAACGAACAAGGGAACAAUGAAUCUCGCAGGAGAAAGAACGAUGGAGCGAUGGAGAUUUAGGGAUUUGGAAUAGUGGAGAGGAAGCUUCGUCGUUUGAGAAAUUUGGGGAACANNN